rnacentral:rRNA from 1 species
UACGGGUAGGGUGCAAGCGUUGUCCGGAAUUAUUGGGCGUAAAGAGCUUGUAGGCGGUUUGUCGCGUCUGGCUGUCGAAAUUUCGGGGCUCAAGCCCCGGAACUUGCAGUGGGUACGGGCAGACGUAGGAGUGUGGUAGGGGAGACUGGAAUUCCUGGUGUAGCGGUAGAAAUGCGCAGAUAUCAGGAGGAACACCGAUGGCGAAGGCAGCUCGCUGGGACGGUACUGACGCUGAGGCGCGAAAGCGUGGGGAGCAAACAGG